rnacentral:rRNA from 1 species
CAAUAGCGUAUAUUAAAGUUGUUGUGGUUAAAAAGCUCGUAGUUGGAUUUCUGCUGAGAACGACCGGUCCGCCCUUUGGGUGUGUAUCUGGCUCUUUCUUGGCAUCUUCUUGGUGAACGUUGCUGCACUUGACUGUGUGGAGCGCUACCCAGGACUUUUACUUUGAGGAAAUUAGAGUGUUUCAAGCAGGCAUACGCCUUGAAUACAUUAGCAUGGAAUAAUAAGAUAGGACCUCGGUUCUAUUUUGUUGGUUUCUAGAGCUGAGGUAAUGAUUAAUAGGGAUAGUUGGGGGCAUUCGUAUUUAACUGUCAGAGGUGAAAUUCUUGGAUUUGUUAAAGACGGUCUACUGCGAAAGCAUUUGCCAAGGAUGUUUUCAUUGA